rnacentral:rRNA from 1 species
GACGAACGCUGGCGGCGUGCUUAACACAUGCAAGUCGAGCGGUAAGGCCCCUUCGGGGGUACACGAGCGGCGAACGGGUGAGUAACACGUGGGUGACCUGCCCUCAGCUCUGGGAUAAGCCUGGGAAACUGGGUCUAAUACCGGAUAUGACUCCAUGACGCAUGUCGUGGGGUGGAAAGCCUUGUGCGGCUGGGGAUGGGCCCGCGGCCUAUCAGCUUGUUGGUGGGGGAUGGCCUACCAAGGCGACGACGGGUAGCCGGCCUGAGAGGGCGACCGGCCACACUGGGACUGAGACACGGCCCAGACUCCUACGGGAGGCAGCAGUGGGGAAUCUUGCGCAAUGGGCGAAAGCCUGACGCAGCGACGCCGCGUGAGGGAUGACGGCC